rnacentral:rRNA from 1 species
GAUGAACGCUGGCGGCGUGCCUAAUACAUGCAAGUCGAGCGAACAGACGAGGAGCUUGCUCCUUCGACGUUAGCGGCGGACGAGUGAGUAACACGUAGGUAACCUACCUAUAAGACUGGGAUAACUUCGGGAAACCGGAGCUAAUACCGGAUAAUAUUUCGAACCGCAUGGUUCGAUAGUGAAAGAUGGCUUUGCUAUCACUUAUAGAUGGACCUGCGCCGUAUUAGCUAGUUGGUAAGGUAACGGCUUACCAAGGCAACGAUACGUAGCCGACCUGAGAGGGUGAUCGGCCACACUGGAACUGAGACACGGUCCAGACUCCUACGGGAGGCAGCAGUAGGGAAUCUUCCGCAAUGGGCGAAAGCCUGACGGAGCAACGCCGCGUGAGUGAUGAAGGUCUUCGGAUCGUAAAACUCUGUUAUUAGGGAAGAACAAACGUGUAAGUAACUGUGCACGUCUUGACGGUACCUAAUCAGAAAGCCACGGCUAACUACGUG